CCUACGGGUGGCUGCAGUGGGGGAUAUUGCACAAUGGAGGAAACUCUGAUGCAGCGACGCCGCGUGAGGGAAGAAGGUCUUCGGCUUGUAAACCUCUGUCUUUGGGGACGAAGAAAGUGACGGUACCCAAAGAGGACGCCACGGCUAACUACGUGCCAGCAGCCGCGGUAAUCCGUAGGUGGCGAGCUUUUUCCGGAAGUACUGGGUGUAAAGGGUGCGUAGGCGGACUGGCAAGUUGGAUGUGAAAUCUCCGAGCUUAACGUGGAGGUUGCAUUCAAAACUGUUGGUCUUGAGUGAGGCAGAGGCAGGCGGAAUUCCCGGUGUAGCGGUGAAAUGCGUAGAGAUCGGGAGGAACACCAGUGGCGAAGGCGGCCUGCUGGGCCUUAACUGACGCUGAGGCACGAAAGCAUGGGUAGCAAACAGGAUUAGAUACCCCAGUAGUC
rnacentral:rRNA from 1 species